rnacentral:lncRNA from 1 species
AUUAGAGAGAGGAGCUUCAUGCUUCGGGUCGGGGAAGGAAAGACAUAGAAUUUGGAUUUUUCUUCUUCGUAGAGUUUUGGAAAGACUGAGGCAAUCGUUGCUGAAGUCAGUGUUGUAAUGGUGAAUCGGGAUUUUUAAAUGAAGUGGGUUUGAAUACUCUUGACUGUUUUGUAAAAUCGAGUUACGUCUGUGAUUGAAGGAUUAAAAGGGUGUCUAUAGGAUUGAGUAUGCGGAGUGAAUGAAAUUUAUUGGGUUAAUCUAACAAGACAGUCAGUGGAUACAAGAUCGUAAGUACAAAAGGGUAUUGAAGAUUAACAGUUUGGGUUGUUCGGGGUUCUCUGUAACGUCUAGAGACCUACCGGCUGGGGCAAAAAAAAGACUUCGACAAGCAGUCAAAGAGCAUCCGUAUAGAUUUAUGGUACAUUAUUGCAGUCGUUUAUAUUCCAGCAGUCAAAAACUGAUAGACUGCUUGACUAUCGGCGAAUCUCCAUACUACCUUCUACAGUCAGAUGCUCGGCAUGUUCUCGAGCAGGAAAGCACGUAAUACGACAUAAGUGGUGAACCCAACGUGAAAGCUUGAGGUGGAAGGUAUUGGAUUUCGGUUGAUUUUAUCUUUAUUUUUAUGG